CUCAGAUAGUGGCUUUUGAACUUCUAGAUCAUUUAAUAUAAAAUGCUCGAGAGGUAAGCAAGCCGAGAGAGAGGCAUUUUCUUACCUGCUGGGUCCCUUUCUCCUAGGCUGGCGCAAGAAUUCCUGAGCCAUUCCUCACCACCCAUCUAAGAAGGAUCUUGGAUCAGACCUACCCUGACAUAGACAUACCCAUCAUAAAACCUAAAAGUGAGAGAACAGCAACGGUGCACACGGGCGGAACUUGCCCCGGAUCGGUCUGGCUUCUCCUAUCAGACUUUCCCUAUGGUUUUCCAAAGCUAGAGCAGACUUCCAUUCUUCCUGUGGUGCACCUUGGUGAGAAAUGCCUUGUCAUACUCUUUCCUUUAAUUUAACGUAAGAUCUGGCCUUGAAAUCCUUCUGCGUUAUGGACUUCCUUUUCAAAUCACAGGCAAUGCUGGCAACUGAGAAUGUAAAGCUGCACCAGACUGCACAUAACUCAUUCCAAGGACGAUUCAGUGGGGUUUUAUUACAUGCCAAAUAUAUGUGAAUAUAUUAAGAAAAUAACACAAUUUUAAUGGCUUGGGGAAAAGGGAAAGGGGUAAUAGACUGUCUUAAGGGGGAAACAACCUAUGAGUCCAGCGUAAAGGAGGACUCAAAGAAAGGGAGAAGUUUAAGACAAGUCAUGGCAGAAUGAAUACAGUUCUGAAAUGAGCUACAGCACAAUAGGGGGAUAGAUUCCAUGUGUGUCUUCUAAAUUAAACCAGGACGGUUUCAUUGACAUGACAGAUAAUUGUCUCUUGUAUGGUCAGAGGAGGGCAUGGGCUCCCGUCUUCUUUGGGAACGUGUAAAGACUGUUUUUGAGAUCACUGAUUAUAUAACUGUCAAUAUUAGACUGACCACAUCCUGAUCUGCGUCAGGAGAAAAUGCACAUGGCAAGUAAUCUUGGACAUGAAGCAUCCUUUAGCGAGGGGUAAGUGUAUGCUUUCCUUCGUCUCUUUUCAAGAGCAAUAAAAAGUUUCACUUGGAAGUAGCA
rnacentral:lncRNA from 1 species